rnacentral:rRNA from 1 species
CCUACGGGAGGCUGCAGUCGAGAAUCAUUCACAAUGGGGGAAACCCUGAUGGUGUGACGCCGCGUGGGGGAAUGAAGGUCUUCGGAUUGUAAACCCCUGUCAUGUGGGAGCAAAUUAAAAAGAUAGUACCACAAGAGGAAGAGACGGCUAACUCUGUGCCAGCAGCCGCGGUAAUACAGAGGUCUCAAGCGUUGUUCGGAAUCACUGGGCGUAAAGCGUGCGUAGGCUGUUUCGUAAGUCGUGUGUGAAAGGCGCGGGCUCAACCCGCGGACGGCACAUGAUACUGGGAGACUAGAGUAAUGGAGGGGGACCCGGAAUUCUGGGUGUAGCAGUGAAAUGGGUAGAUAUCGAGGGGAACAUUCGGGGGGAAGGCGGGUUCCUGGACAUUAACUGACGCUGAGGAACGAGGGCAAGGGAGCGAAAGGGAUUAGAUACCCUGGUAGUC